GUCAUCCCAAAGUAGAUGCAUCUAUUAUGAUUUGGUUUUCAUGUAGUGUGUUGCGGUCAACCUUCUUGCUUCUCCGUUUUCCUUUACGACCUAAAUUCAAAAAACACCUUACGUGCGUUUCAAGGCAACCUCUACCCCAUCCCGGUCUCUGUUUAUCUUUGUAUUUUUUUUGUAUAAAUAGAAUGUAGUUAAGAAGCAUUUUGGAACAUUUUUAUGUUAUGGGGCAUGAGAAUGAUAAUACUACCUCAAGUAUGGAUAAAGCGGGACAAAUGGGCUGAGAUGGAGUUACUGAAACUAUAAAUUUCCUCCCAUUUUGAUCAUUCAUCACUCCGUAGAAUCAAAAUGAACUAGCGAAUCCUUACAUUUGCUGUUAACGUUAGAUUAGUAUAGCAUUGUUGGUUCCUGUUUAGUUCCUGGUAAACGACAUACGAGUGAGAUAGUUUGGUCACCUCUGAUAGAUUGAGUUGUUAUGCUUGCAUUAGGCAAGCCGGUAGCCGGUGCGUUCCACGUCUAGGAGCAGGUCCCCUAAUGUAGCAUUUUCUUAAUAUGGUCAUGUGUUCUGAAUGUAAGAAACAAAAUAUGAAAGUAUGGAUCUCUCCUUUUUUUAUCCGGGGAUUCUGCCCUCUGGAUUUAGGGAUGUAGAUUUGAUAUACAGAUAUCGAAGAAGGCACUUAUUGUUUAUGUAGAUGAAUCAGUUUCCGUGAUUUCUCCUUUUGCCAUCUUGACUUUAGGUUCUUAUUGUUUAUGUAGAUGAAAAUUGUUGUGCAAUCUCAAGGUAACGAACGACUAACAAGACCAUGGUCUGCUGGUCAAAGAUUUAGACAUAGGACACACAAUAUAUCAUCUCUUAGGAUUCCGGUGAUCUCUAUCCAGGAUGCACUACACGUAUUUGAAAACUGAGAAUCAGAGACCUUGAUGAAAUUCAUCUCUGAAGUUUGCUUAAUUUGCUGAUGGUUCCAUGAACUUUCAAAGGACGGAGGUGCUCGGCUGGUUAUUUUUUGGUGAUGGCGGAGUCGCUAUUUCAGUAAACCAUUUGAUGUGCUAAAGAAUAAUAUGUAGAGAAGUCAUAUGUCUGAUGGGAAAAAAAUAGGCCAAUGAAGUGACUGAGCCAAAUUAAUAAUACCAUGUGGUUUUUCUUUUUAAGGCCAAUGAAGACUGCAAUGCUUCGUCUGCUCAAACCACAACCUCGGGGGAACCAGGAACUGAUUUUAGGCAGCCGAUGGUCGUGGACCAGGAAAGAACUCAUUUUCCAUUUCUCUAGCUCUGAAUUCAGGGUUCCAAAUCAAGGACUGCCCUCUUGUCCAUCGCAUGACGCGUCCAUUAUAGAUGCAAGUGGGGCAACAUUAGCGUCCAUGGGCUUGUGAUAGCCACUGCCGCGUUACUGUGCUAGAAGGAUAGACGGAGAAACCUACCGUAUAUUAUGCAGCUCAAGAAGGUGAUUUAAGAUCUUCCUUGUGAGGUACUUCAAAAAGUAUGUGUUCACAUACGAGAUGCAACCCUAUGCCCAUAGCUUUGUUUAUUAGAUUUGAUUUUGUGACAUGUUUGUGCAAUGGUGUCAGUUCCGAUUAGCUCUGAAUCUUGAAUGCUUACAGUAUAGCGCUAUCAAAUCUCUGGUUUUUGUACCCAGUGAGCUGCUGUAGGUAACAAGUUUGGUGUUGAAAACGGCGUUGAUUUACCAAACAUUCCAGUCCAUUCACUAGGUAUACCAGCUCCCUCCCCUCUCUUCUUUGAUUUUGCUCGUGAUGACCCACAAUACAUAAUGCAGGCCAUUUUUUAUGGAUAUAUGGACUACAAUAGGUAGUGUUUCUCUGCUCGGGUGUCAUUGUCAUCGACGGGCCUCUCAACUGCCUCGAGAUCCAGACUCAUCCAGCUCGCCGCCGUUUUUAUGCCUGAGUAAUUUCAGGGAAACUAACCAUGCCUUGAAAAUAGGUUGUUAAAGUUUUUUGUGUUGAUACUUUAUUUUGGAAGGCUUUUUAACUAUGAGACCACAAGGAAGUGGCUUUUGUGUAUGUACCAUUCCAAAUUUAUUCAUUAGUUUGAAUCUAUUCAGUGAUGAUUAUGUAUGAACUAAUUGUAGUUGGAUUAAAAUAGAUGUUUUAGCCAAAUUGUUCUUCCGUAGGGUUCAUGGUUUUUGUAGCAUGAUGUCUGAAUUAAUGGUGAAUGAUUAAACAACUCAUGGUUUUUGUUGUUGAUUCCAUUAGAGUGGUGCUUCUUUAGGGCUUUAUGUAGAAAGAAUGGAAGCUGACCUGAUUCUUCGAUGGUGUUUAUCCUGACAUCUUGUUUAUUUUCUUGGUUUCUUAAGAUCAUCUUUUCUGAACAUUGGGUGAGAAGCUAGAAGAGAAUGGUACUGCGAAUAUUCAGGACAAAAGAGAAUAUAUGAGAAGCUAGAAGAGAAUGGUACUGCAUAUUGGGUGAAGAAGACUGCAUAUGCCUAUACUGGUUGAAUGUAGUGGUUAUCAAUCAUCCAUUUUUUUUGAAGUGCAACCCUCAUGCUCUGGCCUGUAGCAAGAAUAUAUAUAUAUAUGUGGAGCUAGGCUAAGAUUCUGAUAUUGCUGCCUUUUGAACUGCAGUACAAAUGCUCUCGUCCAUGGCAGGAAUAUAUAUGGAGCUAGGCCAAUAUUCAGAUAUUGAUGUCCAGGUAUUGUAGAGUUUUUGGCGCUAGAAGCAUUCAUGUUCUAGAUUUUUAGUUGAAUUGUUCA